GUAAGAGACCCGAGGGAGCUUCACUUACAACGGUCCCACUAGAUUACAGAACGCUCUUUGCUGUGGGUUAUCUUUAUACACCUCUGUUCUAGCCUGUAGGCUCUUCCCUGAGGUUGGAUAGGGGGUGUGGCCUUGGCAGUAUCAGGAAGCCUUGGGGAAGGUAAUUCUGGGAUGUGGCUCUCGCACCACUUUGUGUUACUUUGUAAACGGACAGCCAAAUCACUACGGAGACAUAUGAAUAUUCAAUGAACGUUCAGAGAGAUGACCAAACGCAGAGGCACAGAGGGGCAGCGAGAAACAGACAACAGGGGAAAGAAUCAUCUGUAGGGACAGAGUCAAAGACCCCCUCUGCUGUCACCAUGUGUGACAAUGAACAUCCCGAUAAACAUCGCCCAUAUCCAUGAAGUGAUAACUACUUUUAAUUUCUCAGGUAAGGCUCCAUAAUUCCUUCUUACUGUAAAAGGUUUCUGACUGGCUCAAUCUGUUAAUAAUCUCAAGCAGACAAUCACUGUUGCUCUGAGUUCAAGCGUGCAACCGCCAUAUCAUGUCAAGUGGGACAUGGGUCCUUCUCCUUCCU
rnacentral:lncRNA from 1 species